rnacentral:rRNA from 1 species
UACAGAGGUGGCGAGCGUUAUUCGGAAUUAUUGGGCGUAAAGGGCGCGUAGGCGGCCACGCAAGUCUUGGGUGAAAUCCCUCGGCUCAACCGGGGAACUGCGUCUGAUACUGGGUGGCUUGAAUCCGGGAGAGGGAUGCGGAAUUCCAGGUGUAGCGGUGAAAUGCGUAGAUAUCUGGAGGAACACCGGUGGCGAAGGCGGCGUUCUGGACUGCAACUGACACUGAGAAACGAAAGCCAGGGGAGCAAACGGG